CCUUACUGUAUCUUCCGGGGCAGAAUUUUCGCAUAUUUGUUAAUAUGAAUCCAGUCGUUGUGCUUGUAUUUGUCCUAUACAUCACGACUUCUAGAGCCGAUAUGCAUUACAAUGAUGACUAUUAUGACCAAGACUAUGAGGGGCCAUUGCCUGAAAUUGGUCAUGGUGUUAAUGUAUACGCAAAAGUGUUUUAUGAUUCAACAAUACAAUCAGAAAGUUUAUCGGAAAAUGAAGCGAUUGAGGAUAAAAAGGAGCCAUCCCUCGAAGACUUUAAGGAGCUUUUCAAGUCGGUUGAGCAGUAUUUCCAUGGUCUAUCAAUAAUGAUCAAUAUCGAAGUAAAAAGCGCCCAAAAGGU